rnacentral:rRNA from 1 species
GAUGAACGCUGGCGGCGUGCCUAAUACAUGCAAGUCGAGCGAACGGACGAGAAGCUUGCUUCUCUGAUGUUAGCGGCGGACGGGUGAGUAACACGUGGAUAACCUACCUAUAAGACUGGGAUAACUUCGGGAAACCGGAGCUAAUACCGGAUAAUAUUUUGAACCGCAUGGUUCAAAAGUGAAAGACGGUCUUGCUGUCACUUAUAGAUGGAUCCGCGCUGCAUUAGCUAGUUGGUAAGGUAACGGCUUACCAAGGCAACGAUGCAUAGCCGACCUGAGAGGGUGAUCGGCCACACUGGAACUGAGACACGGUCCAGACUCCUACGGGAGGCAGCAGUAGGGAAUCUUCCGCAAUGGGCGAAAGCCUGACGGAGCAACGCCGCGUGAGUGAUGAAGGUCUUCAGAUCGUAAAACUCUGUUAUUAGGGAAGAACAUAUGUGUAAGUAACUGUGCACAUCUGGACGGUACCUAAUCAGAAAGCCACGGCGAACUACGU